CACGUGUGUUCGCGCGUUCGUUGGCCGGGUCCGUUGUCCCGGAAAGCUGCUAGAGGGUCGGUGGGCGGGCAUAGGGUUGAGGGUGAGUCCUCAGAGACCGCGAGGAGGAAAAGGAAGGGAAACAUUAGGUCCUGAUCGGCUGGAGCGUCCCUGGACAGUCUCUAAACAGGUAGUUAACAGUCCCAAGGCGCUCAGUAGAAUCACCUGAAGACAUUUAUUUUCUAAACCCUAACCCUAACCCAGGCAGCACCGUAGAUCAAUGAAAAGAUAACUGAUAAGGAAUGCGACCCAGUACCAACUCUUCUAGCUUCUUCUUUUUCCCACUGACCCAGAAGAGAUUUUGGACCUUACUCCUUUUCUUUGCCUUGCCCAUUCUCCAUGGAAAACAUUGCUCUGGCAAAUUGGUUUACCUGCACUUCUGUGGCACAGAAUCAAGAGGAAAAGGGAAGAAUGCCCAGGUGCUUUUUAAGGAGGCAAAGAAACUGACCCAUCUCCUCGGGUUCCAUUUCUCAGAACAGCAACUGUCACGCUUCUCAUCUGCAGUGGUACUAAGCAACUAAACAGUGAGAAUCUUGUGACUGUCCAGCUAAUGGGAUAAAACUCACCUCUCCGAGCUCUGAGAUCUGCUUGCUCACUGUGGGGAGCUUUCUUCCCUCAGUCUUGCUGAGUUAACAUUUAUACUAAAUCGCUUGAAAUCAAAUUGUCGAGAUCUUAUCAACACUUGAUUGCAAUGACCUUCUUGGCUGACCCUUGACUAAUGUAACCCUGUCCUAAUGUUCCAAUUAAAAUCGCAUCAAAUAAGUGAAAUUGGAUUUUCCUUUGCAGU